CUUUAUUGGAGAGUUUGAUCCUGGCUCAGGACGAACGCUGGCGGCGUGCCUAAUACAUGCAAGUCGAGCGGACCUGAUGGAGUGCUUGCACUCCUGAUGGUUAGCGGC
rnacentral:rRNA from 1 species